CUCCCUCUCUCCCUCCCUUCCUACUAAAAACCAAUAAGGCUAGGGAGCCUAUCUGCAUAGUUCUGUGAAUGUCUCGGAACAAAGCAAUACACAGAAGCUAAUGCUCUCAUCCUGUGUAAGAUACAAAUCUUGUCACAUCAUGGACCAUCGUGGAGCAUGAAGCUAUUUCUAAUGUGAUGGGGGAAAUGUUUCUAGCAGAAGAGCAAGACAUGGUCCUGGUGCAUGAAAGGAGCCUAAGAAAGAAGAGUGAAAGCUGCACGUGUUCUACCUCCAGAAAGCCAUAAAAGAGAAAAGAAUGUUGUACCAAACUAAGCAAAUGAAGCAUGAAAUGAAAAGCCGGUUGAGCUGGGAGGUAUAAAGAAUGGAAAGGAAGCAGCUACCACCCCUGGUAACCCCAUCAAUCCGGAGAAGCUUCGCAGAGUUACACUGUGCUCUGUCGGAGGAAGUCUAAAAUAACACAUGGGUGUCUCGGCCUUGGCACAGCUAAACCCUGGAACAUUGAACUGAAGUCAUAACAAUGGGUAAUAUUUUAAUAUAAUGAAAAAUUAUCAUUAACUUUUCUCGACAGGAAGGAAAUGAAUUUUCCUCAUUGUACACAUUCCGAGAAAAAUGAGGCUAAGACUAUUUCAAAGGAUGUUCUACCUAAUUCGAAUGGGCUUUAAGUGCCAUCUUCACAAUAGCGCCAGAGUCUGGUGUCAGCAAACUGAACAAAUAGAGCUACAGGGAGCGAAUGGGGCUGGGUGCCUCUCCAAAACAUAUGCAGAUGAACUUGAGAUUUCAGAGGACGGUUAAUCCUACACAGCAGUCAAGUGCCUUCCCAGGGGUAUGUCUCAGAUCUCAGAGCAUCCUGGCAGGCAUCCACUGUGCCAUAUGCUUUCGGGAAGUCUGGAUGCUGAAUGUGGUGGCUGUGGGGAAUUGAGCCUUAUUGCUUCAUAAGAUUCCUGGUGGUAGAACUAUUCUGAACAAGAACACGUCCGUCCCCAUAGGUGUGCUCCAAGAAUCACAGAAUAAGAAGGGACUUCGGAGAGAGCCUCACACAGUUGGGCAAUGGGAGCCCAGAGAGGCAAGGAAGGCUCCUUGCCCAAAGUCUUGUACAUCUGAAUCUGCAACUCCUGACUAUUUUUGAGUCUUAUGCUCCAGGCUAAAACUUGUGACUUUAAGUGUGAUGUUCUCGGUGAUGAUUAAUCUAGGAUGUUUCUGUUGUUUUCUUACCGUCAAAGAAUUAACAUCAAAAGGAAAGGAAGGAAGAAAUGUAGAAGUGAAGGCAAGAAGGAAGGAAGGAGGAAAGGAAGGAAGGAAAAUAUAGGCUUUGGGUAAAAAUAAGUUUCUACUCAACACUGACAAAGGUACAGGUUUUGGACAUUGGUUUCCUAAUCUGUAAAUGAGGAAUAGUCAUCACAUCGCUGUCCUGGCUGGUUUUGUGUGUCAACUUGACACAAGCUGGAGUUAUCACAGAGAAAGGAAAGAAAAUGCCUCCAUGAGAUCUAGCUGUAAAUGGAUUAGUGAUCAAGAGUGGGAGGGCCCAGUGUGGGUGGUGCCAUCCCUGGACUGGUGGUCCUGGGUUCUACAAGAAAACAAGCUGAGCAAGCCAGGGGAAGCAAGCCAGGGGAACAUCCCUCCACGGCUCUGCAUCAGCUCCUGCUUCCUGCCCUGUGUGAGUUCCAGUCCUGACUUCCUUUGGUGACGAACAGCAAUGUGAUAGUAUAAGCUGAAUAAACCCUUUCCUCCCCAAC
rnacentral:lncRNA from 1 species